rnacentral:snoRNA from 1 species
CUUCUGUGAUGAUACGAUGACGAGUCUGAAUGGGUAAAUCCUUUUCCAGUGGUCAUUGUCUGCGUCACGUCUUGUGCUGUAGAUAAAAGUCCAUUGAGUGAAGUUUACCUUUUGCUUGAUGUCUAUGAGGCAUUUGUCUGAGAAGG